UUCUUGAUUUACUUUCUCUGUGUUCAAACCCUCCGUUCACUUUCUGUUCUCAUCUCCUUUAUUUUCCCCCUCCCUUUGUACAUAUCUAACUGGUAUAAAUCCUAAUGGAAAACCACAGUCCUCGUCUUCAUUUCUCCCCUUCAUCUCUACAGUACAAAACCUAAUUAAAAACCACAACUAUGAGGCUGCUGAAGAAAACAAGAUUAGCAUCAGCGGUUUCCGACACCUUGGCUUUCAGGUUCAAUAUGGGUGUGGAUCAAAACAAUCAUGAUACGGAGGAGGGAACUCUGUUGGUUGGCAUGGGUAGGUAGAAGGUAUUGCAGUAUGAAAGAGGCUUUGUUAAACACAGUUGGGGUUCUAUAUAAUACUGACUGGAAUCUUCCUCCUUUAUGCGCACAUCACAAAGUACAGAACAAUCUCUGGAGUUGCUGGGCCAUUGGUUAUCCUCGAUAAAGUCAAGGGACCCAAGUAUCAAGAGAUUGUCAAUAUUGGUUUGGGAGAUGGAACAACUCGAUGUGGUCAAGUCCUAGAAGUUUAUGGUGACAACGCAGUUGUGCAGGUUUUGAAAACUCCUUAGACUUGAGUUAUGCUUUAGGGAUUCAUGGAGCUGAGUUGAUAAAGCUACUCCGCCACUGCAGGAAAUUUCAAUGACUGUGGAUACUGGAUUGCACUGGAGACAAAGGACUAGGAGUUGUAGCUUCUACUUCUGUGGACUUUGUAGAUGCAGUCUGGGUCUUCCAAAUAUUUAUUGUUUCUAGUAGUUGUACAUUGUUUAGGUGAAUUGAUUACUGGAUUUUUAGUUAAUGCAGAUUUAGGAGUAUGUUGUUUAAUUUACCAGAGAUCUCUUGUUUGUAAUUCGUGUUAUCAUAUUUAGAUCUUUGUUAAGAUUUGCCAAUUUCCUCAGCAACAAUAUCAGUUAUCAGUGGAAUGAAUCUUGUGUAACAUGUGGCAUCAUCAUUUUUGGUUAUGAAUUGGCUGCUUUGUUCUGGAAGGA